GGAGGAAAGCAGGGGAUCGUAAGACCUUGCGCUUUUGGAGUGGCCGACGCCUGAUUAGCUAGUUGGUGGGGUAAGGGCCUACCAAGGCAACGAUCAGUAGUUGGUCUGAGAGGACGACCAGCCACACUGGGACUGAGACACGGCCCAGACUCCUACGGGAGGCAGCAGUGGGGAAUUUUGGACAAUGGGCGAAAGCCUGAUCCAGCAAUGCCGCGUGAGUGAAGAAGGCCUUCGGGUUGUAAAGCUCUUUCAGUCGAGAAGAAAAGGUUGUGACUAAUAAUCACAACUUAUGACGGUACCGACAGAAGAAGCACCGGCUAACUACGUGCCAGCAGCCGCGGUAAUACGUAGGGUGCGAGCGUUAAUCGGAAUUACUGGGCGUAAAGGGUGCGCAGGCGGCUUUGUAAGUCAGAUGUGAAAUCCCCGGGCUUAACCUGGGAAUUGCGUUUGAAACUACAAAGCUAGA
rnacentral:rRNA from 1 species